UACGUAGGGCGCAAGCGUUGUCCGGAAUUAUUGGGCGUAAAGAGCUCGUAGGCGGUCUGUCGCGUCCGUUGUGAAAACUCGAGGCUCAACCUCGGGCUUGCAGUGGAUACGGGCAGACUAGAGUGCGGUAGGGGAGACUGGAAUUCCUGGUGUAGCGGUGGAAUGCGCAGAUAUCAGGAGGAACACCGAUGCGAAGGCAGGUCUCUGGGCCGCAACUGACGCUGAGGAGCGAAAGCAUGGGGAGCGAACAGG
rnacentral:rRNA from 1 species